rnacentral:rRNA from 1 species
GGGGGGAGCAAACGUUGUUCGGAAUCACUGGGCGUAAAGGGCGCGUAGGCGGCCUCGUAAGUGGUGUGUGAAAUCUCCUGGCUCAACCAGGGAAUAGCGCUCCAAACUGCGAGGCUUGAGGGCAGUAGAGGAAGCUGGAAUUCCAGGUGUAGCGGUGAAAUGCGUAGAUAUCUGGAGGAACACCAUUGGCGAAGGCGAGCUUCUGGGCUGUCUCUGACGCUGAGGCGCGAAAGCUGGGGGAGCAAACAGGAUUAGAUACCCUGGUAGUCCCAGCCAUAAACGGUGAACACUAGGUGUGGGAGGUGUCGACCCCUCCCGUGCCGCAGCUAACGCAUUAAGUGUUCCGCCUGGGGAGUACGGUCGCAAGGCUG